rnacentral:rRNA from 1 species
UACAGAGGGUGCAAGCGUUAAUCGGAGUUACUGAGCGUAAAGGGCGCGUAGGCGGUUAUAUAAGUGAGAUGUGAAAUCCCUGGGCUCAACCUAGGAACUGCAUCUUAUACUGUAUGACUGGAGUAUUGUAGAGGGUAGUGGAAUUUCCGGUGUAGCGGUGAAAUGCGUAGAGAUCGGAAGGAACACCAGUGGCGAAGGCGGCUACCUGGACAAAUACUGACGCUGAGGCGCGAAAGCGUGGGGAGCAAACAGG